rnacentral:rRNA from 1 species
AUACGUAGGGUGCGAGCGUUGUCCGGAAUUACUGGGCGUAAAGAGCUCGUAGGUGGUUUGUCGCGUCGUCUGUGAAAUUCCGGGGCUUAACUCCGGGCGUGCAGGCGAUACGGGCAUAACUUGAGUACUGUAGGGGAGACUGGAAUUCCUGGUGUAGCGGUGAAAUGCGCAGAUAUCAGGAGGAACACCGGUGGCGAAGGCGGGUCUCUGGGCAGUAACUGACGCUGAGGAGCGAAAGCAUGGGUAGCGAACAGGAUUAGAUACCCUGGUAGUCCAUGCCGUAAACGGUGGGCGCUAGGUGUAGGGGUCUUCCACGACUUCUGUGCCGUAGCUAACGCAUUAAGCAAUCCGCCUGGGGAGUACGGCCGCAAGGCUAAAACUCAAAUGAAUUGACGGGG